UAGAUGAGCCCAAUCGGAUUAGCUAGUUGGUGAGGUAAUGGCUCACCAAGGCGACGAUCCGUAGCUGGUUUGAGAGAACGACCGGCCACACCGGAACUGAGACACGGUCCGGACUCCUACGGGAGGCAGCAGUGGGGAAUAUUGGACAAUGGGCGAAAGCCUGAUCCAGCGACGCCGCGUGGGUGAAGAAGGCCUGCGGGUUGUAAAGCCCUUUCGGUUGGGAAGAAAAGUAUUGGCCUAAUACGCUAGUACCUUGACGUAACCAACAAAAGAAGCACCGGCUAACUCUGUGCCAGCAGCCGCGGUAAUACAGAGGGUGCAAGCGUUAAUCGGAAUUACUGGGCGUAAAGCGCGCGUAGGCGGCUUGACAAGUCGAGUGUGAAAUCCCCGGGCUUAACCUGGGACCUGCAUUCGAAACUGUCUUGCUAGAGUAUGGGAGAGGGAAGUGGAAUUUCAGGUGUAGCGGUGAAAUGCGUAGAUAUCUGAAGGAACAUCAGUGGCGAAAGCGACUUCCUGGACCAAUACUGACGCUCAGGUGCGAAAGCGUGGGGAGCAAACAGGAUUAGAUACCCUGGUAGUCCACGCCAUAAACGAUGACAACUAGAUGUUGGGAGGGUUAGCCUCUCGGUGUCGUAGCUAACGCGUUAAGUUGUCCGC
rnacentral:rRNA from 1 species